CAAACCAUUCAGUAAAAUUAAGCACAGUCAUUGAAUAGCUGCUACAGCUAAACUGCAUCUGUAGCAGCAGAAACCUACAUGGCUGACAUAGAAAUGAGUGCAUGAGGAAGGAUCAUAGUGUUUCUAUGUAAGCCUCAAUCUUCAGCUGGUCUUGUUGACUCAGCAGCACAGAAAGCUCUUUAUAGGUGCUGAUAGAUGCUGACCUGUCUCACUGUCCACUGGAAAUAAUCAUGUAGUGACUUGUGUUGUUUGAAGUGUUUAAAUGGACAUAAUUCUAAUAACUGAUAAUGAAUAUUGAUGAUGUCAGUGUUUGAUGUUACAGCUACUAAAACCUUCAGAAGAAAAGAACAGAGUCAGAAACAGAUGAAAGCAGGAAACUAAACCUGGGAUCAUAAUAAUAAUAAUGUUUUGGUAAAAGCCAGAUUUGGAUGCUGUGAGAAUUCCUCUGAUGUGUUCCUGAUGCCACACGUUCACUGUACAGUAUGUGUGUGUGCAGUGCAUUUGUAUCACUGUGAUUCAGUAUUUCUGAUAGUUAAACAUGGCAGACUCACUGCUGUGGUGGGAAAAAGGUUCAAACUGAGUCAUGGCCUGAUUCUCUGUUCGUUGAAUUCAUGUUUGAAAACUGCUUCCAUGAUUCAUUCAGAGCUGUUUAAAGGCACAUAAUCAAUCUGUUAUUUAAAGAUUGCUGUUGUUCUUCCUUCUGUCUGGGGGGAAGCAGAAGGAAGAGUGCGGUGGUCGCCUCGCUCUGUUUGUUAUUUAAGAAAUGCAGUGUUUGGAGAAAGUUUCUUGCCAUCUUUGUGGAAUCAUAAAAAGUAGCACACAGAAUGAUAUUUUCCAGUGGGUAAAAUCUGGGAUGACACGUGGGAGCCCACCAGUGAAUUUCAGCAGCACUUUGCCUGAUGUGCCGCCUCCUUCAGCCAGAGAGUCUUUUCAUUGUGUUACAAACAAGUCACAUAUAAUAUCUGCAGACUGUCCUUGUGUCCUGUCUGCAGGGAACAGUGUCAUAAAUAUGUGGAGCCAAAGAUCCAAACAUCCAGAUACCACAUUGGUCACCGACAGGAUGUCUUCAUUUUAAGCACUUUGAUUGGUUACAAGUGUCAGACACACAUUUAUACCUGUUUAAAUGCAUUGUUUUAUGCAGAAAUCUGUAUCUUAUGUUACUUACAGCACUAGUUGUGUAAUCUUAUGUUGAAUGUUUUCAUUGUUCAGCAUGUUUUCUGCUGCGUUCUGUAAAAAGUGAGAGCAGAAGGUGAAAAGUGGUUCUCAGACUGGCUGAUCCAGUUUGAGCAUCACUGCGUUAGCCGGGUCCUUCUGACUGUACUGGGGGCUGUAAUUCACAAAACCAGUGACAUGUUGCAGUGAAUCUGACCUGAAACCAGCGACUGAGCCCAUAAACUCAUCACUCUGUUUGCUUUACCUUCUCAAAUAAAGGCGGCAUCAUAAACAUGUGUUUGUUUAUGUAUAACUGUGCAGGCUGGUGUGAAUGUACUGAGUACUGUCACUGCAAAUAUAACAAACAGAAAGUUCAUUGAGAUGUGAGAACUUGAAGUACUUUGUUAUGUUGAGACUUCAUGUUUCCAUUAUUAUUAUUUACUGUAAAAAUGAGAAUUUCAUAACAAACACCUUCAGACACAUAAUCUGUGGAAACAUGCUGUAAUUUAAUGACCAAUAAACUAAACGUCUUUAGUUCAUAGUGAGGAUGCAUUU